CAGGAUGAACGCUAGCUACAGGCUUAACACAUGCAAGUCGAGGGGCAGCAGGACGAUAGCUUGCUAUGUUGCUGGCGACCGGCGCACGGGUGAGUAACGCGUAUCCAACCUUCCCCGUUAGUAGGGCAUAGCCCGGUGAAAAUCGGAUUAAUACCCUAUGUUGGUGUCAUGAGGACAUCUGAAUAACACUAAAGAUUUAUCGCUAAGGGAUGGGGAUGCGUCCGAGUUAGGUAGUCGGCGGGGUAACGGCCCACCGAGCCCUCGAUCGGUAGGGUUCUGAGAGGAAGGUCCCCCACACUGGUACUGAGACACGGACCAGACUCCUACGGGAGGCAGCAGUGAGGAAUAUUGGUCAAUGGGCGCGAGCCUGAACCAGCCAAGUAGCGUGCAGGAUGACGGCCCUAUGGGUUGUAAACUGCUUUUAUACGGGGAUAAAGUGAGGGACGUGUCCCUUAUUGUAGGUACCGUAUGAAUAAGGACCGGCUAAUUCCGUGCCAGCCGCUGC
rnacentral:rRNA from 1 species